rnacentral:tRNA from 1 species
GAGCCGAGCAGAGAUUCCGCGCGAACUGCGCACGGAGAAGCCCUGGUGAGGUCUCGGAGGACCCGGGUUCGAUUCCCGGCGGCUCCA